UUCCUUUUUUGUUUUAUGUGCUAAAUUAAAUUGAACGAAAACGUCAAAACACAUUGAAACGAAAAGUAGAUAAAAAUCACAAAUUUCAUAUGAAAAAGUUAAUUUCACCGUUUUUUUAUCGCUUUUGGUAAAUUUUAUAAAAGGUGGAUCAAAUCAAAAUUAUUUCACUUUAGUGAUAUACGAAACCGGAACGAUGGAAACCGACACAUUCAGAUCAGCAAAACCUCCCAUAAAACAUCGUAGAAAACAAGCAAAUUGCUACAAUGAGACAGCUGAAGCUUUGAACUAAAUCAAGCAGAAAAUCUCAGACAAGCAUGUAAUUAUUUUAACAACGAUCAUUCGGAAUAUAUUAAAAGGUAUUUUAUUACCUAAUUAAAAGUAAAUUUGAAAAACUGGCAGGAUCGCCAAUGUGGAUUUCUGUACCAUGAGGAAUCAACCGGGAAGCCAUUACGGGAGAGUCACCGAAACGCGUCUUACCUGUGUUCCACUUAGCAACCGGAGACGGCUAAUGACGAGGCUAAUGAAAGAUGGCGGUCCUUCUUGUUCAUUUGAACGAACGAUGAUUGUCGUUGUGGU